AAGGUGGCUUUCGGGCUGUCGCAGAUGGAUGAGCCUGCGUUGGAUUAGCUAGUUGGUGGGGUAAGGGCCCACCAAGGCUACGAUCCAUAGCUGAUUUGAGAGGAUGAUCAGCCACAUUGGGACUGAGACACGGCCCAAACUCCUACGGGAGGCAGCAGUGGGGAAUAUUGGACAAUGGGGGCAACCCUGAUCCAGCAAUGCCAUGUGUGUGAAGAAGGCCCUAGGGUUGUAAAGCACUUUAGUUGGGGAGGAAAGCCUCAAGGUUAAUAGCCUUGGGGGAGGACGUUACCCAAAGAAUAAGCACCGGCUAACUCCGUGCCAGCAGCCGCGGUAAUACGGGGGGUGCAAGCGUUAAUCGGAAUUACUGGGCGUAAAGGGUCUGUAGGUGGUUUGUUAAGUCAGAUGUGAAAGCCCAGGGCUCAACCUUGGAACUGCAUUUGAUACUGGCAAACUAGAGUACGGUAGAGGAAUGGGGAAUUUCUGGUGUAGCGGUGAAAUGCGUAGAGAUCAGAAGGAACACCAAUGGCGAAGGCAACAUUCUGGACCGAUACUGACACUGAGGGACGAAAGCGUGGGGAUCAAACAGGAUUAGAUACCCUGGUAGUCCACGCUGUAAACGAUGAGUACUAGCUGUUGGAGUCGGUGUAAAGGCUCUAGUGGCGCAGCUAACGCGAUAAGUACUCCGCCUGGGGACUACGGCCGCAAGUCUAAAACUCAAAGGAAUUGACGGGGACCCGCACAAGCGGUGGAGCAUGUGGUUUAAUUCGAUGCAACGCGAAGAACCUUACCUGGUCUUGACAUCCUGCGAACUUUCUAGAGAAAGAUUGGUGCCUUCGGGAACGCAGUGACAGGUGCUGCACGGCUUUCGUCAGCUCGUGUUGUGAAACGUUGGGUUAAGUCCCGCAACGAGCGCAACCCCUAUUGAUAGUUACCAUCAUUAAGUUGGGUACUCAAUUAAGACUGCCGCUGACAAGGCGGAGGAAGUUGGGGACGACGUCAAGUCAUCAUGGCCGUUACGAACAGGGCUAACCACGUGCUAACAUCGGUUUUACGAAGGCUGCA
rnacentral:rRNA from 1 species